rnacentral:rRNA from 1 species
GACGAACGCUGGCGGCGUGCUUAACACAUGCAAGUCGAACGGAAAGGCCCUGCUUGCAGGGUACUUGAGUGGCGAACGGGUGAGUAACACGUGGGUGAUCUGCCCUGCACUUCGGGAUAAGCCUGGGAAACUGGGUCUAAUACCGGAUAGGAGCCAUCUUUAGUGUGAUGGUUGGAAAGUUUUUUCGGUGUAGGAUGAGCUCGCGGCCUAUCAGCUUGUUGGUGGGGUAAUGGCCUACCAAGGCGGCGACGGGUAGCCGGCCUGAGAGGGUGGACGGCCACAUUGGGACUGAGAUACGGCCCAGACUCCUACGGGAGGCAGCAGUGGGGAAUAUUGCACAAUGGGCGCAAGCCUGAUGCAGCGACGCCGCGUGGGGGAUGACGGCCUUCGGGUUGUAAACUCCUUUCGCUAGGGACGAAGCUUUUUGUGACGGUACCUAGAUAAGAAGCACCGGCUAACUACGUG